rnacentral:misc_RNA from 1 species
AAGUCGUAACAAGGUUUCCGUAGGUGAACCUGCGGAAGGAUCAUUAAAAACUUUUAUCCGGGAAUUCGUUUCGUCUUCCCGGAUUAUUUGUAUUCAAAUCCCACUCUUUAUAAAUAUAUCAAUUUAUAUAAAACAAAAAUAAAAAAAAGAAAACUUUCAACAACGGAUCUCUUGGCUCUC